UAUUAAAAUUGAGAAAAUAAAAUAACGAGUUUGAUUUGCAAUAAAUGUGAUAUGAGUUUUAAUUUUUAAUCACAUCGCAACACAGAGUUAUAUUCUUUAGUUAUAUAUGUACUAGUAAAAUACGGCAGAAAUUAAAUAGCCUAUAAAUUAAACCAACUGGGAUGACGAUUGGCUGAGCUGUCUAGUUUAUGUGCUACAGCACCAUCUAGUACUAUGUAACAAAAGAGUAUCCAGGUGGACCGAUGACUUGAAGAAAACAACGAUUGAUCCGAUUAGAUGCGAAAGAUGGAGAAAUCUCUGAACUACUCGCUUUCAAGUUUUUGUUCUUGUAUACUGGUUGUAAUAAAAUUGAUUAAGACAGUAGAUCAAGAAGUAAAUCAAAUUAUAAAGACAUUCUUCGACAAGAAAAUCGGAAUUAAUUCAAC